UACAGAGGUCUCAAGCGUUGUUCGGAUUCAUUGGGCGUAAAGGGCGCGUAGGCGGCGGGGUCAGUCGGGUGUGAAAUCUUGGGGCUUAACCCCGAAACGGCACUCGAAACUGCCCGGCUGGAGGGCCGGAGAGGAGAUCGGAAUUCACGGUGUAGCAGUGAAAUGCGUAGAGAAUCGUGAGGAAGACCCGUGGCGAAGGCGGAUCUCUGGACGGCUAAAACUGACGCUGAGGCGCGAAGGCCAGGGGAGCAAACGGG
rnacentral:rRNA from 1 species